rnacentral:misc_RNA from 1 species
AAAGAGACAAAAACUCAAAAACAAAGAAAAUUAACAGAAAAGAAAAAUGGCAGAGGCUAAUUCGUAUGCAGCUCUUACCAAAGCUUUCUCAGGACUUGGUGUGGAUGAGAACUUAUUCAUCUCAACACUGGGGAAAUGGAAUCGGCAUCAGAGGGAAUCGUACAGGGUAAGCACUCCUGGAUUCUUCAGAGAAGACAAACGACAGUUCCAGAGAUGGGAUGAUCAACAUAUCCUCCAGCUUCGUCAAGAGUUUUUGCGUCUUAAGGAUGCAGUGGUUUUGUACACAAUGCACCCAUGGGAAAGAGAUGCUCGUUUGUUCAAGGAAGCAUUAUUAUUGCAAGUACCUAAACAUGAUGUUCUCAUUGAGAUUGCUUGCACUCGAUCCUCUGAAGAUCUUCUUGGAGCCAGAAAAGCUUACCAUUCCCUUUUUGAACACUCAAUUGAGGAAGACAUUGCCUUCCAUGUUCGAAGUUCUGAAAGAAAGCUUCUAGUUGCUCUUGUAAGUUCCUACCGUUAUGAAGGUCCACGAGUAAACGAUGAUCUUGCAAAAUCUGAGGCUAAGAUUUUUGUAAAUGCAAUAAAAAAUGCCAACAAGAAGAAGCUGAUUGAUGAGGAUGAAGAGAUUGUGAGGAUCCUUUCGACAAGAAGCAAGCUCCAUCUUAAGGCCAUCUAUAGCCAUUACAAGGAAAUCACUGGCAACUUCUUGGACGAGGAUCUUGAGUGUGACUUGACCUUGAAACAAGUUGUUCAAUGCCUUUGUAUACCUAAAGCAUACUUUAGCAAGAUUUUGAUCGCGUCCCUAAGAUUGGAUGUGGAUGAAUCUGCUAAAGACUCAGUUACCCGAGUCAUAGUGUCAAGAGCAGACGAUGAUGAUAUGCAGCAAAUCAAAGAAGAAUUUCAGAGCAAAUAUGGAACUACUUUGGCUGAAAAGAUUGCAGAAGUUGCUAAUGGAAGCUACAAGGAUUUCUUGCUUACUAUAAUUGCAAAAUCUGAGUAAUUAUUUGGCCUAGAUUUUGACAUAUCCAAAGUUGUUCCAUGUUCUCACACGCUUGUUUCCAUUUGAUCUUCUUUUGCUCAAUUUAUGUAUGAUUUCAG